rnacentral:rRNA from 1 species
CGCGUAGGCGGUUUGUUUAGUUAGGCGUGAAAUUCCUGGGCUUAACCUGGGGACUGCGCUUAAUACAGGCAGACUUGAGUUCGGAAGAGGGUCGUGGAAUUCCCAGUGUAGAGGUGAAAUUCGUAGAUAUUGGGAAGAACACCGGUGACGAAGGCGGCGACCUGGUCCGAUACUGACGCUGAGGCGCGAAAGCGUGGGGAGCAAACA